ACGGGGAUAACCUCGGGAAACUGAGAAUAAUACCCGAUAGAUCAUUAUGCCUGGAAUGGCUUAUGGUUAAAAUGAAUUUCGCUAUAGGAUGGGACUGCGGUCUAUCAGCUUGUUGGUGAGGUAAUGGCCCACCAAGGCUAUAACAGAUACGGGCUCUGAGAGGAGAAGCCCGGAGAUGGGUACUGAGACACGGACCCAGGUCCUAUGGGGCGCAGCAGGCGAGAAAACUUUGCAAUGUGCGAAAGCACGACAAGGUUAAUCCGAGUGUUUCCUGCUUAAGGAAUCUUUUGUUAGUCGUAACACCACUAUCGAAUAAGGGGUGGGCAAGUUCUGGUGUCAGCCGCCGCGGUAAAACCAGCACCUCAAGUGGUCAGGAGGGUUAUUGGGCCUAAAGCAUCCGUAGCCUGCUUUGUUAGUUUUCGGUUAAAUCCAUAUGCUCGACAUACGGGCCGCCGGGAAUACUGCAUAGCUAGGGAGUGGGAGAGGUAGACGGUACUCCGUAGGAAGGGGUAAAAUCCUUUGAUCUAUGGAUGACCACCUGUGGCGAAGGCGGUCUACCAGAACACGUCCGACGGUGAGGGAUGAAAGCUGGGGGAGCAAACCGGAUUAGAUACCCGGGUAGUCCCAGCUGUAAACUAUGCAAACUCAGUGAUGCAUUGGCUUGUGGCCAGUGCAGUGCCGCAGAGAAGUCGUUAAGUUUGCCGCCUGGGAAGUACGUACGCAAGUAUGAAACUUAAAGGAAUUGGCGGGGGAGCACCACAAGGGGUGAAGCCUGCGGUUCAAUUGGAGUCAACGCCGGG
rnacentral:rRNA from 1 species